AUAAAAGGUUCAUCCUGCUCUAUGAUAUUAUUAUUAAAUGGCCGCGGUAUCCUGACCGUGCAAAGGUAGCAUAAUCAUUUGCCUCUUAAUUAGAGGCUAGUAUGAAUGGACACACGAAAUCCUUCCUGUCUCAUAAGUUAUAAUAAAAAUUACUCUCUAAGUGAAGAAUCUUAGAUAAAAUUGAAAGACAAGAAGACCCUAAUGAGCUUUAAUUUCAUAAGUAGUUAUUUUACGAGAUAUUUAUCAUCUAUUUAAUUAUAUGAAAUUUUUGUUGGGGCGACAUAAGAAACUCUAUGACUUCUUAAUAUUUAUUUAGAGGAAUCCCUCGAUUAAAUUGACCUAAUUAUAAUUAAUCAAUAGCAAUAGCUACCAUAGGGAUAACAGACUAAUUUUUCUCCAGAGCUCAAAUUCACAGAAAAGAUUGGCACCUCGAUGUUGGCUUAGAGGCCCCUUAUGAUGCAGCAGUCAUAAAUGGUGGGUUUGUUCAACCCUUAAAA
rnacentral:rRNA from 1 species